AUUGUUAUUUAAUUAUAGUUAGCUGUGAUCCACAUUUAAAAAAAAGUUUGGAAAUUUGUUGAUACAUCGUUUUCUACAAAUUACAUACUUAAAGGAAAAUAUACUUAGGCAGGAACCCUUUAUACAUUUGUCAACUCGUUUUUAGUUGCUUGCAGAUGCUACAAAGUAUUCUGUUAGUUGUCAUGUCAGUUAUUACACAUGACUUCGAGAGGUUUGCCUCAGCUCUAGCAAAUGUUAGACUCCACAGCGAUUGGGUAUGGUGGCCGCAGAAUCCAGACAGUUUCCAGAAAAGAAACAUGAUUUUGUUGACUAAUUACAAUCGGUUGUUCCCCCGAACCAUAGCGGCUGCACUCUGGAAGAACGGAAAUGGCACCACCACUGUUAGGGACAUUAUUCCGGCCAGCAGGCUCGCCAAGUACGGAAACUACCCAUACCACCCAGAAGAUAGUGGCAUGAAGCAAGGUGUAUCGUCUCCAGAAACAAUCACCAUCUCAGAUGAAGAUUUACAACCAUGGGCCUGGAAGGAAGUUGAUGAAAUGUUUAGAAGACUCACUUGGAGAGAGGAGCACAACAUGUAUCUCACUACCAGCUACAACUCAAAUCUGUCAGCUCAGAUAACAGCCAAUGCUGGUUACAGUGAAAAACUAAAUCAAAAUGUAGAAUCUUCCUCUUACAAUCACCAAAAAGAAAAAGAGGCACUUCGGUAUCAAGUGAAUUCUCUAGAAGAGGAACACCUUUGUACUGUGGUGGGCUCAGUUACAGUGAGGAAUAUUUGGGCUAAUUCAGCACCACUCGGUGCGGCAGUACCAGAAAUCUGUCCUGUCAGUGUAUUAGCGAAACCAUUCUUUCCCAGCUACCUCAGCCUAGGGAACAAUAGAGAAUUGUUCCCGUACUUGCAAGUGAUCGCCAGUCCGAAUGCACCUAUUCCAAAACCUGCCAAUCAGCACUCUUUUUCAAGAAUUGCUGCAGAUGCGAACAUACAGGUUACUGGAGGGCCAGCCAGGAGCUUGGUUAAGCCCAGGAUACUCCAAAACAUUGGUAACCCUGGUGUGCAACUCCGACCACAUAAUGGCAUAGCCCAAAACACACCUGCAUCACAACGACCCAUAGAAUUAUAUCAAGGAGUGGUAUCACCAUGCUGGACUGUCCCACCCAACCGCCAAAAGAACAUCUCCAAUAUCUCUAGCCUGGUACGUAUUUCCAAUGGAAACCCAUUCCCGAUUCAAAAUAACCCUGAAGAGAGGUCACCACCAGCAGAUGGGUCAAGUUCACGUGAUGAUGCAUUCCCUAGCCUUCCAUCCAGCGAAGUCUUCCAGCACCAACUGCCUGACAUGCAUCAGGCCAAUCAUCUGAGACACAGCAUUGCAGGGAUAAACGUGCAUUCCUCUGUGGCACAGUGGCUGUACUGUGCAUGCCCAGAACGCUCUUGGGAUUUCGACGACAUUGGCACUUUAGCACUGAACUUUCAAGCUGUAUCGCCCGCCAGUGAGGGCUUCCUACCUGCUCCACAGACCAGCACACCGUCCAAAGAAUCUUCUCCUCGCCGUUUGUACUGCGAUGUGCUCGCCAAUAGGUCAGCCACGGUGGAUACAGCAGACAGUUCGUACGAUGAGCUGGAGCGUCAAGCUUUGGAGCAAUACCAGCAUCAAGACAUGCACAGCUCUUCCGAUGCUAGUACAGAGGACAAAUUUAAGGAGCUAGAGCAGCAGGCCAUAGAACAAUACCACAGCAGUACGACACUGAUCGACAGCAGUGAAAGCUGCAGUUAUAUGGGAGAAAGCAUGCCGACGUGUGUUUGCGGGAGAGGCUGUCCAACCGCAUAUUGCAGUACACAGCGCGCCCGUGUCCACAAGAGCAUGUCGUCUGAAGAUGUCUGCGCUGCCAGCUGGCAACACGACGGGAAGAGUUCGACUGCGGCACUGGGGGUGGAGCCGGCGGACCCGAGAGUUGCAGACGCGGACAACAGGUGUGCUCAAGCUCGUAUGUCACUUCGGGCCAUGUUCGCUGCGGGAGGUGGGGACGGCGACCAUUGAGUGUCCCUCCCCGCGACAACAGCAGCCCCAGGCAUUCUGGACAGCCUGCUAAUCUCCGACGGUCUGCUUCAAAUUUCGAAUGAUGGAUUUUCUACAAAAUAAAUAGUUUUUAAUUAACAUAAUAAACAUGGUGUAGCAGUAGUAUAGUAUACAAAAGUAUUAUAUUCAUAAGCAAUAGUUAAAAAUAUUGCGGUUACCAUUUAGAUUACAUCAAUUACUAAAAAAAAAAUUAAAAAGUUGUGUUUCUUUAUGACUUGUUAAUGUAUAAUUUGUGUGAUACCAAUUUAAUUAUUGUUGUAUUAUUACUGGCAAAAAAUUAUAAUAAAUAUUUUGAGUGUAGCUUUUCCAAGAAAUAUGUACAGUGCCAAUUGAAAAUGAUGAAUGAUUUUUAUAACUUUUUAUAAAUAAUUAUACAAUGUAAAUAAUAGAACUGUGUUGUUAGUUUAGUAAUCGAUGGCAACCAAAAAUGUUUUAGUAAAUUGAAAUAAAUAAGCUUGAUCAAAAUCU